rnacentral:lncRNA from 1 species
GCGGGUUGAAAUGGAUUUUAUGGGGCGGGUUGUGACGUGGGGUGUGUUUGAAUGGGUUGAAAUGGGUUUUAGUAUUUAAUGGGUUGGGGCGGGUUGGGUAUAUCAGAAAUGCAAGUUGGGGCGGGUUGAAAGUGGUUUUUUAUUUGAAUUUGUAUGGAUUUAACUCAUAGGUUUAACUUUCACGCUUCGGCUCUUGACGUGGGCCAUGAUAUAAGUCCAGCCGCACUACUUUGCACAGAGUAGCGGACUGUCAAACUAAUUCAUUUGCAACAAAUUUCGGUCAAUUUCUUCAAAAUUUUAAGGUGUGAACGUGAGGUUUUAAUUUUAGGGUCCGACUCUUGACGCGGGGCCCACAUAUAAGUCCAGCCGCACUACUUUGCACAGAGUAGCGGACUGUCAAACUAAUUCAUUUGCAAAACAAAUUUCGGUCAAUUUCUCCAAAAUUCUAAGGUGUGAACGUGAGGUUUUAAUUUUUGGAUCCGACUCUUGACGCGGGGCCCACAUAUAUGUCCAGCCGCACUACUUUGCACAAAGUAGCGGACUGUCAAACUAAUUCAUUUGCAACAAAUUUUGGUCAAUUUUUCCAAAAUUUUAAGGUGUGAACGCGAGGUUUUAAUUUUAGGGUCCGACUCUUGACGCAGGGCCCAC